rnacentral:rRNA from 1 species
UACGGAGGGUGCAAGCGUUAUCCGGAUUCACUGGGUUUAAAGGGUGUGUAGGCGGAUUUUUAAGUCAGUGGUGAAAUCUCCGGGCUCAACCCGGAAACUGCCAUUGAUACUAUUAGUCUUGAAUUCUGUUGAGGUGGGCGGAAUACAUCAUGUAGCGGUGAAAUGCUUAGAUAUGUGGAGGAACACCAAUGGCGAAGGCAGCCCCCUGGGUCAACACUGACGCUCAUGCACGAAAGCGUGGGGAGCAAACAGG